AAGGAAAUUAAUACAUAUGUUAGUGAUUGUUUGUGUUUUGAAGUUAGCAUUAUUUGUUGUUGUCUGCUGAACUUCAUUGCUGUUGUUGGUUGUGUGCAGUCCUUAACUUCAUUUAGAACAUAUAAAUGUGUCAAUUGCUCUAAAUCAAUCUAAUAAGGUUAACUCUUUCAGUUGAUAAUGGUGUGAAGAGAGAACAAAGUAAGUUAUGUUCUUAUUGUUUUAUGAUUUCUUAAAUUUAUUUUAACUUAAAUUGAUUAUCUUAUUUUAUACUACAGAGUGAGAAGAAACCUUUGGAGAUUAUGCUGCCCAUUCCUUGAAAGUUUGAUGUUGCUGCUUUGAUUAUCAAUGUUGUGGCUGGAAUUUAUGCUGGAAAUGUCCCACUUGUGCAGCCUUUAACAUGGUUGGUGUUGCCGUGUUGGUAUUGGAGAGACGACUUGGUGUUGCUGAUUCGGAAGCUGCAAAUUUAUAUUUUUAUGUUGUAUUUCAUUUAAGACUUGUUACUUUUUGAAUUUUUGAUGCCUUUAAACUAUUUGAAAGUGCAUUUUUAUGCUUUCGAUGUUUUGGAUAUCUAAGAUUUGUUAUAAUUGAUUUGGAGAAAGACUUUUGGUAAUGAAAUGAUUUGUAAUUUUAUUCAA